CAACCUUCACAUGAUAUAUUAAUUAUUCAGAACAAUAUACCAAUUUCUGAAUAUAAUUGCAAUCAUAAUAUAUAAUCAUACACCAUAAUAAUAAAAUGAUAAAAGAAGAGAGUGUAAAUAAAUAAAGACAUUUUUACUUUCACGGGACGUGUGGCUAAAUAGAACCCUAACCCCAAAUUCUAAUAGCCAUUUUGGCUCUCUUAAUCCAAAUAAGACUGGCGCCCCGAGAGCAA
rnacentral:lncRNA from 1 species